AACGAACGCUGGCGGCGUGCUUAACACAUGCAAGUCGAACGCGAAAGGGGCUUCGGUCCUGAGUAGAGUGGCGCACGGGUGAGUAACGCGUAGAUAACCUGUCCUGGUGUCUGGAAUAAUAUCUCGAAAGGGGUGCUAAUACCGGAUAUUCUUGCUUUCUACAAGGUAUGCAAGGAAAGGUGGCCUCUGGAACAAGCUACUGCACGAGGAGGGGUCUGCGUACCAUUAGCUAGUAGGUGGGGUAAUGGCCUACCUAGGCGACGAUGGUUAGCGGGUCUGAGAGGAUGAUCCGCCACACUGGUACUGGAACACGGACCAGACUCCUACGGGUGGCUG
rnacentral:rRNA from 1 species